AGUAUCCCUCCUAACCAAUACAGUGGUUCACAUCUGCUCUCCAGGGCUUAAAUAAGGCCUUCCAUGUGCUGAAAUAAUAUAAUGUCAUGGAUUUUAUUUUUUUGUCUUUGGAAGUUUCUCUCUAGGCAAUUUUAGUCCUUCCCCAUCCCACCCCAGGGAACAGAAACAAAACUCCUGGGAUGUUAAAAUACUGCUGGCGUAAACCAGAAGGAUCUUUUAUCCCUGUGGAGCCUGAGCCGGCUGUUAAUAUCAGUGCUUGUUAAUAGCUCUUAGAAAGCAUGCAUAAAUGAAGGUGCGGGGUGGUGGGGGAGAGCAUCUUCUCACCGAAAGUAAGGUGUGAUGAAAGAUGCAGGUUUUAAAUAAUUUAAAAUUCCUUCAGAACAACCUGGGUUGAGGAGUUUAUAUUUUGUUUGUUUUCAGACUCAGCAGAAAGCCUUCAGGCAAUAGGCUCCUGAAAUUAAAGUCAGACUCAAAUCCAAACAAAUUGUUUCUUCUGAUGUGCUGCCCUCAGACUCUCGGAGUAGAACUUCUUUUAUCAGAGUGUGAACUUUGGAAGCCCAUCCUGCAAGUGGCUUUCAGUCCAUGAACAAAGUGAAGAGGGGGCCUCUGUUUUUCCCUGGGAGAGUCAGCCAUGUGGAGAAUGUGGCGACUCUACAGAGCACAGCCCAGUGAGUGCAGCCUAAACACCCCAGGCUGUUUGCUUUCAGCUCUGGAACUGUGGAGCAGGAGAACUGAUUGAGAGGCAAAGAGACAAGCAUCUGAUGAACAUGUUUCCUCCACAAAUCACAAGUCUGCCUAUCUGCUGCCAAACACAAGGCUCCUGAUUAGAUUCCUACUUCUGAGAAGAGCUUCCUGAGGGAGCAGAUUCUGUGCCAGAGUUUGGCAUGCAGAAUGUUUAUGCCCUGAAGAUGAACA